rnacentral:rRNA from 1 species
AUGCUCGAUGAUCUUAGCCAGUGGAUCAUGAAACACUACGACCCAGAAAAGUCUCAAAUUGUUAUACCAGAUAGAGGCAAAAUACAAGUAGAUGCAGAAAGUGUUAGGAGGAUAUGGGGUUUGCCCAACAAUGGCAGGAAAGUAUGUUUUGAAAUGAAUCCAAAUGGUAUAAGGGAAUUCAACAAUCUUUUCAAGAUCGAGGGAAAAAACGCCCCUACAUUGACUUCAUGGUGUAAAAUGAUUGUGAAGAUGAAUGGGGCGUGCGAUGACAAUUUCCUUCGUGCUUGGUUGGCUGUUGCAUUCUCCUGCUUCCUUGCCCCAACCACAAGCUUGAGUAUCUCACCAAGGUGUUACACUGCUAUUCUCGACACAAGUGCUAUAAAAGACACCAAGAUAUGCGACUUUGUUAUUGAUCAACUAAGAUUGGCAUUCAUGGGUUUUGGUGACAAGAAGAAGGCUGUUUGCUGCUGUGUUUUCCAUCUAGUUGUAAGUAUGAGGAAAAUCAUUUCUAAUGUGUUUUCUUUUCUAUAUUUUUUCCUUUUCAAUACAAGCAUGAAAGAGCCAUAUUUUUCCUAA